rnacentral:lncRNA from 1 species
AUGGAGCCACAUCUCAGUCUAGUGUAGGUGUUCCUAGUCCUCAGCCUACAACCCCUUUAGUUUCUGUCACACCAAGCGCACAAACCACUUCUGCUUCUGUUGUUACACCUAUCUCACAACCCAUUUCUGCUUCUGUUGUCCCACCUGGCUCACAACCCACUUCUGCUUCUGUUGUCCCACCUGGCUUGCAACCCGCUUCUGCUUCUGUUGUCACACCUGGCUCACAACCCACUUCUGCUUCUGUUGUCACACCUGGCUCACAACCUACUACUGCUUCUGUUGUUACACCUGGCUUACCAUCUACAGCAGCUGGCCCUUCUCCACCUAUCCAAUCAAGAGGACGAGGUCGAAAGGCUCAGAGUGGAGUACAAGCACCACGACGCAGGGGAAAAAAAC